rnacentral:rRNA from 1 species
AAUAAGGGAGCCGUAGAGAAAUCGAGUCUGAAUAGGGCGAUAGUCGCUGGGAGUAGACCCGAAACCGGGCGAUCUAGCCAUGUGCAGGAUGAAGGUUGGGUAACACCAACUGGAGGUCCGAACCGGGUAAUGUUGAAAAAUUAUCGGAUGACGUGUGGCUAGGAGUGAAAGGCUAAUCAAGCCCGGAGAUAGCUGGUUCUCCCCGAAAGCUAUUUAGGUAGCGCCUCGUGAAUGAUUACUGGGGGUAGAGCACUGUUUCGGCUAGGGGGCUGUCAUGGCUUACCAAACCGAUGCAAACUCCGAAUACCGGCUAAUUGAAUCACGGGAGACACACGGCGGGUGCUAACGUCCGUCGUGGAGAGGGAAACAACCCAGACCGCCAGCUAAGGUCCCCAAGUACUAGUUAAGUGGGAAACGAUGUGGGAAGGCAUAGACAGCCAGGAGGUUGGCUUAGAAGCAGCCACCCUUUAAAGAAAGCGUAAUAGCUCACUGGUCGAGUCGGCCUGCGCGGAAGAUGUAACGGGGCUAAAACUAGUCACCGAAGCUGCGGAUGUGCGCGAAGGCGCACGUGGUAGGGGAGCGUUCUGUAGGCUGAUGAAGGUGCAUUGAGAAGUGUGCUGGAGGUAUCAGAAGUGCGAAUGCUGACAUGAGUAACGAUAAUGUGGGUGAAAAGCCCACACGCCGGAAGUCCCAGGUUUCCUGCACGACGUUAAUCGGAGCAGGGUGAGUCGGCCCCUAAGGCGAGGCUGAAGAGCGUAGUCGAUGGGAACCAGGUUAAUAUUCCUGGACUUUUUAUAAGUGGUGAAGUGGGGACGAAGAAGGCUAGGUGAGCCAGGCGUUGGUUGUCCUGGUACUUGCAUGUAGGGGGGAAGACUUGGCAAAUCCGGUUUUCCAUAACUCUGAGGUGCGAAGUGGUUCUGACCUUUUGGUACAGAGAAGUCAUUGAUGCCCGGCUUCCAGGAAAAGCUGCUAGCCAUAACUUAUAGAGAACCGUACCGCAAACCGACACAGGUGGACAGGUAGAGAAUACUAAGGCGCUUGAGAGAACUCGGGUGAAGGAACUAGGCAAAAUGGUACCGUAACUUCGGGAGAA